rnacentral:rRNA from 1 species
CAACCUACCUUUGAGACCGGGAUAGCCCUGAGAAAUCAGGAUUAAUACCGGAUGUGGUCACGACAAGGCAUCUUGACGUGAACAAAGGCGCAAGCCGCUCAAAGACGGGCUCGCGGCUUAUUAGCUUGUUGGUGGGGUGAUGGCCUACCAAGGCGAUGAUGAGUAGCUGGUCUGAGAGGACGAUCAGCCACACUGGGACUGAGACACGGCCCAG